AUUGAACGCUGGCGGCAGGCCUAACACAUGCAAGUCGAGCGAGCGGCGGACGGGUGAGUAAUGUCUGGGGAACUGCCCGAUAGAGGGGGAUAACUACUGGAAACGGUAGCUAAUACCGCAUACCAUCAGAUGUACCCAGAUGGGAUUAGCUAGUAGGUGGGGUAAAGGCUCACCUAGGCGACGAUCCCUAGCUGGUCUGAGAGGAUGACCAGCCACACGGGAACUGAGACACGGCCCAGACUCCUACGGGAGGCAGCAGUGGGGAAUAUUGCACAAUGGGCGCAAGCCUGAUGCAGCCAUGCCGCGUGUGUGAAGAAGGCCUUAGGGUUGUAAAGUACUUUCAGCGAGGAGGCGUUACCCGCAGAAGAAGCACCGGCUAACUCCGUGCCAGCAGCCGCGGUAAUUC
rnacentral:rRNA from 1 species